GUCACCUCUGUCUGCUUCAGCUGUUUCUGCUGGUGGAGGAGAUGGAGGUUCGGGACUCAUACAGUAAAACUGUGCAAGAGAGAAGAGUAGCUGCUGAAGGAAGGAAAUUGUGGAAUGGUUUGGAUUGAAAGGGAUGGCUCCAAUCUUAGCCAUGGACAGGCAAAGUUUGCACUUCAGGGAGACCAAGAUUUUUAGCAGGAGGACUUAAACAAAAAGUCCAGGGAAAGAAAUUUUGGGUAGUUUGACAUAAUCUAUGAGGUAACCUGUUUCUUUAGAAAUUCACAGCCACUUGAACAAAGCUUUAAGGGAAUGAAAUCAUGCAUUUUAAGCCCAAAAGUACUGGUAGCAGGAGAACUGGAUGCUUCAGUGACUUAAGCAGUAUCUGGAAGAUGGGGGCUCCUAGGAAGAUGCAAGUACCUGGAUUUGAAUACAAUUCUGGGAGGAGGAGAUGCUGAUCCUUAACAGAAUGGUAGGCAGCUCACUGAUUAAAUUGACUCGGAGAGUAAUAACAUGCUAGUUAAAAAAAUAAAUAAGUGAGGCAGUAAGCUGCAUAGGUCUUGGCUGAAGGGCUUGACUGUAGGAAGAGGAAAUUAAAGUGGUGGCUAACAUAGGUGAUUACUGAAGUCUAUCGUUCAAAGGUAAUUGUUUUCUUUUUUUUUUUUUUCCGACAUACCCCAAAUUCCAGCAUUGGCAAGUUUGAAAAGGUAAUGAAAUAUUCACAUAAUAUCUCUGCAUUUCUUAUGUUUCUAAAACAUGCAUUUGAAUGAUAUAAUUUUGAAUUCAGUCAAGACAAGAUUGAAGUCUAAUUAAUGUUGUAUUUGUUUGAUGUUUGGGACAGUUUGGCAAAAAGUAUGCCUCAGGAAAAGACUGAACCAAAUGUGCCUUGUGAUUCUUAAACCCAAAUCACAGCAGACUUAGUAGGGCUGGAGAAAAACAUUAGAGGAAUGACAAGAAAGCUUCCUUCCUGCUACUGUGGGAAAGACUGUGGUAUCUCUGCUACUAGGUUUUCCUUGCUGAGAGCUUUCGAAGCAUAGACAGUGCUGUGGCAGUUUGUCACCAGCCCAGGGUGACUGUCAGCUGAGCUUUUUCUGUACCCAUUCCACAGCUGAAUCUCUUGGGUAGAGCAAGAACGUGUACUUGUGCUCCUUACAACAUGGCCUUGGGUAGUAGAAAGGUUUAUACAUCCCGUAUGGAACUUUAUGACUUCAGAGGUAUGUUGACUCUGUCCUAUUGAGGCGGGUGGAAAAAAUAAUGGCUAUGGAAGAAAGGACAAGCUUCUUUCAAGUCUCUAUUUGAAAAAGGCCCACUACCACUGGAUAGGAAGACAGGUGAUCAAGUGAUAUCUACAGUAACUGUAGCAGGUUUCACCACAAGGAUUCUGUUGCGCUUGAAACCUUAUCCUUUCUGGGUGAUGUCAAGGCUCCGCAGAGCAUACUCAGAAGAACAUCGUAAAGGAAUACCGUCAAAUCUGCAUUUUAUUACAGAAUGAGGAGUUGCUAAACAUUUAAGCAGACACGAUGAGUUCUCCGCCUAGAUUCUGGAUUUCUGCUCUAACUUGACUGCAGAUUUUCAGCUGGUGGGAGUACAGCUUGAUCUGUUCUAGGUAAGCCAGCAAAUCUUGUUUACAGGACUGGUCUGGACACUGAGGAUUAAGAAAAGAAUAGUAAAGCAUAUACAUUUCAUUUCAGACAUCAUCUUAAAUACUUAAUUGAGGAAUAUUCAGAUCGUUUACACGAACAUCCUUGUACUCGCUUUUUCUUUUACGCUGCAGGGCCGGCUUUAGCCAACGCUGCUAACCAAAUUAUUUCAUGUAUGGAAUGACUGCUUUUCAUUCAAUUCCUAAGAGGUUUUGUUUCUAAGGUAUCUAGAAGUAACAGAUAGAUGCAAAUGUAAACACAAAUGCCAGAACAAUGUUAAUGUUCACAGAAGUUAGACUUUAUCUCCUAAUAUCAACGUGAUUUUUUUUUUCAAACGUUGUUUCCAUUUUCUGUCACGUGUGCUGUUUCAGUGGGAGCAAGAAAAUAAGAACAGCUUAUGGCAAAAUCGCCAAUUUCAAUACUUAAUAAAAAAUAACACCUUUCCACCUUCGCUUCUGUGAGCUCCCGCGAUACUUGGAGGGGAAGUACUGGUUUAAAUAGACCUAUAAUGGGCUAAAAGCCUGAAAAAGCAAAAAUUGUACUUAAUUCAAGAAAUACUUUACAUAAACAACUGGCUUUGCUGAAGAAACCGGAUUGUUGUUUAAAAUGGGAUGUGUUUAUUUCAAGCGUGACGAUUCCGUAUUCUUCAAUCAUCUGCAGUAGUAAACCAAAAAGUUUAUGUUUCGGACUUUUAGAAGAAGCAGCAAAGAAUAUAGCAAAUGUAUCUGAAAAAUUGUUAAUAUGAUUGAAAUAUCUGUCCUUAACUUGUGUUCAGCUAGAUCCAUUACUAAAAUGUUCUUUGUACUUCACCGUAGUUUAAAAGAAAAACAGAACAGAAUUUCUCACCAUCCUUUCAACGUGCACCAUUUUCGAAGCGUUACCAGUAUUCAUAUCUCAGUGACUGCUGAGAAAACUUGAAUACUUGUUUACUUGUUACGCUACUUCUUAAAAAAAUAUCUGUCCUUCUGUCCAGGUGCAGCUGUAACCUCUUUAAGCGUAACAACUAUACUAAAGGUCUGUUUCUUAAAACUAAGUGCUUGCUUUUCUUUUUCUCUCCGAUUUACAUCCCCCCCCCGGAAAACCUCAGCAGAUAGAAAGAUAGGCUGCUAAUACAGUAUCUCAUCUGCUUCAAUUUGUGACGGCGUCCAUUAUAGAAACUCAGAGACAGCGCUAUUUUAAUUUCUUACAUAAUACUCCUCUAUAACGUUUGCAAGUUAGUCACAUCUACUAUCUUCCUUACAUACGCUUAGCGAAGAAAUGCGUAACAUUUUAGGAAUGCCGAAGACGGCAUACACGAAAGAUAAGGAAAACGUAACCUCCCCAGAGACCUUGAGGUUAAACUAGUUCUAUCAAAAUACUAGGUCUAGGGCUCAGCAGCAUUUAGAAGAGCAAGUGUAAGGCACCGCUGGAAAAAGGCGUAAAUACAUUUCAUAAACCUGAGGGAUAACCACAGCUUUACUGAAAUACAACUUUAUUAAAGCAAAACUUUACUUUACCUGGUGAAGGUAAGGAAGUAUCGUGAAAUACACGCUGUCAUCUAACCGAGUCCUGUGUAUGUUCACUACUGACCUAAAUGAACCUUUGGUCUGACACGCUAUGGCAAUUUUAAUGUACUUGACCCAUGAAACUUUAUGAGAUACGAGACAUUUCUAGGAGUAAAGGUAACAUUUAAUGUUACCUUAGGUAAGAUAAAGUACAAUAAAGACAAUUAAAGUCUCAUCCCUUAGAGCGUAUCCCAAUCAAACAUAAGCAGAUGUUAGAAAGAGAGGUGCUCUGUGAAGAGGGUAUUCCGUAAGGAACCCUCUGCGUAUUACUCAGAAACAUCUGGUACAAGCAACGCUUGCUUACUAGUGAGACAAAACACUCAGCUGCAACAGAAAAUAAUUUUAAAAUACUGAGAUUAAUCAUUCCACAGCCCAUUGAUGGUUACGAGUUCAAUGCCUAGCACAGAGAAACAAGUUCUAAGCUACAAUUCCUGGCAAAUAGUGAGCGCUGUUGGUUUUUUGUUGUCGUUGUUGUCUGUUUGUUUGUUUUCUAAGAAACUCUUGUAAAUAGCUCAAACGAUGGAAACUGGGGAUAUCUCUUGCAUGGACAGGGUCUGUACAGAAUGCUGUGCAUAGAGCAAAGGCCCAGUUGAUGCUGCACCACACUGCGUUCCUACCAUCUGAAGGGACGUAGGAUUGCUUAAGCUAUUUCCUCCUUACAGUAACUCUGAUAAACAGCAUUUUAAAUCAUACCUCACAGUCCGAGCGCCUAUCUCACUGGGAUCGUAAUGGACUAGCACCUCUUGUUGCUGAAACAAUUAUUACUCAGGAGCCUUGUAGUAAAGACCUUAAUCUACAGCGUAUGUCACUAAAAACAGGAUGUACUACCUUAAUCUUCUUUGGGAUUUCAGGUCACCAAUUUGACAAUGAAACGGAAAUAAUCUAAUUUAAAUUUAUCAGCAAUAUACUUGUGAUUAAUUUGCCUAAGUUGACGCUGAAUGCGAUUACGUUUGCAGUUGUUAACUCCGAGUCAUCUUUAAGUGCUGAGAAUAUGAACCGAAUUCUGCUGAUUCUAACGCACGGUCCCUUUCUUUCCAAAAUAUGAACAUGUUACAAAAAUUAGAACUGAAGAACAACAUAACAGAGGUGCUGUUGUGGCUGAUCAUAAAAUACUGAAAAAUAGAGUUUCAGUUGUUGCGUUUUUUCCCCCUCGCACAGAAGCUAUACAAAAUACGUAAUUCCACAGUGCUCAAUUUUCAUUCUCUGAAAUUACAUGGAGCGUGAACAAAAAUCAUCCAUUUGAAAUGUUUUAUUCACGUUGUAUUGAAGGGAUACGACAGUGAUUCUUCAAUAUGCAGUGAUUGCUUUUCCAGGUUUUUUUCUCAGGUUUCAAUCCAGACAGAGGAAAAAGUUUUGCUUUUCUUCCACACGUGUCUCUUUGAAUACUGAAAAUGCUCAUUGUAUGUUACCGUGGUCCUGAUAACAGCAAAGGGAUAGUCAAGAGUAAUACUCGAGUCCCGGGACAACUGUGAAGAUGAAACUAAUGUGGCCUAACUAAAUGAUCAUAUUAGAAAUGAUAACGAAUAAUUGAAGUGAUGCGGAGUAAGCUCAAUAGCAGAAGGAGAAGCGGCGAAGACAAAACACAUGCAUGAGGAAUGCAUGGACUUCUACCUUAAAACACGUACUUGACGGUUGGUAUGAUGUACAGCUAUCGUUUUUCUCUUCUGAUGUAAAUAAUACAAAUCCAUUUUUUACACGCAAUUCUAAAUUACGCAUAAUUUAUUUUUUACUGAAAGAGAACACGUGAAAUAUAUACAGAAAAAAUAGGUUGAUGCCACCGAGGAAGGUGUUCACAAAACCUUAUCAAAAUUUGUGUUCCAGCCAGCACACCAAAUUCUUGAAGGUAUUUGGUAGUCAACGGCAUGUAAUAUUUCUUUUCUUCAAAAGAGCAGAACAGAGGAAAUACGGUAAAAUUGCAAUUGUUAGUCUUCACAAAUGCCACGUAGAUUGAAGAAAAACACAGUGAGAAAAAUACUCUGUAUGGUAAAGGGUGAUUUUGCUUGGGAAUAAAAACUAAAAGAUUUUUAGUCAUCAGAGGAAUGAGAGGAUCGUAUUACUCAUCUGAGAGUAUGAGUAAGAGCAAGAUUCUUCUUUUUACUAAGUCACAUGCCUAUCUAGCUGCGACCGUAGUUAUAUUCACUGCAGCGUUAUUGAACUUACUGACAAAGACAUCUGACUCGGUCCAAUGUCUUUGAAGCGUGUUUUUCGCUACUCUCUUAUUUUACUGUUUACGCUUAUUUGCUUCUAACGCUUAGGACAAGAAAUUAUAUAUGAACUGACUAGUGUAUUUUAGGUACACGUGAGAUGAGUAAAGUGAAUCAAGGCUUAUCCACUAUGCGCAAACUCUUACAAACAGAAAUUACUUGAGUGAAUUUAGUAAAAGAGUCAAUUAAAAUGGAGUCACGUUUCGCAGCCACAAAGGGAACGCGCCGGUUAUCAGCACUAACGUUUAUCUGCACUGUCGGCACACUGGUUAUCGGCACUAGUAAUUCAUGGUUAAUUUGCCCUUACCAAUUUGUUCACAUUUCUAGUCUGGAGUUAUUGUAACAAUAUACAAAGAAAAUUUUAGGUAAUAAAUAUUUCUGUAAGAAAGACUUAAUUUUUAUUCAAAAAGGAGUAAAAAGUUAUGACGCUCAUCUCUAGAUUUGAUACCGCAUCAUUUUCUGCAAUACAUCAGUAAUGGUUACAGUUUUGAAUUUUCAUUUUAAUGGAUGAAAAGAAUUUCUGAAAAGACACAAGCUGGAAGAACACUUGUCAAGAUCUGAAAUGGGAGUGUUUUUUUUCCACAAAUUCAGAUCACAGCUGUAUAGACCAGUUAUCAAAAUUCUAUGGCAUCUCCACCUGAAAGACGUGACAGAAAAAAAACAACACAGACUGUUGCUGCUUCAUAGAUACUAAGCAAGUGAAAAUCGAAAGAGAGGAGUAGAAAGAAAGUACGUGAGGAUGUGGAAGACAGCAAAUGUACCCUGCUACUUUGGACCUAAAAGCCAGCCACAGAGGCUUGUAAAUAGCUUUAAUACUCGCAGACUGAAAUUUCAUAGGAUUGUUCUUCUCUGGCCUGGUUCUGACCUUAACUACAUGAGACGAGUUGCUUUUAUUGAGGUACUAAGCUACAAUGCUGCCACUCUGGCCAGGAAGAUGACCGUGCCCGUGCACUUACAUGGAUCCUGUUUUGGUUUUUGGCUGGUGAAGAAGUUGGUUUUGUCUUGUUUUAUUUAUUUAUAGUUUUUUUGUUGUUUGUUUUUGUUAUUUAGCUUAUUUAGCAAGUAGAAGCUUUUAGAAUUAACUAGAAAUAAAGUAAUUCUCAUAGCUGUAAAGCUGUUCAUUUUAUGACGAUAAAUAUUUCUUUUCAGCGGUAAGAAAUAACCUCAAAUCUUCAGGUAUGCAGAUGGCAGAAUUCUAUCUAUUGAGAAGAGUAUUUAAAUUGUUUUCCGUCUAAAUAAUCUAACAGCAAAAAACAAAGAAAAGGCCCGUACUGGGGGGAAAAAUAUGUCAGAAGGAGAACCUAGAUAUAGCUGAAAGCAAACAUUCUGGAAAAUACAUGUAAUAUGCUGUAAAACAAGUCAUUUGAAGACAAAGAAGAAAAGUAACCUAAGUGUUGUGCUGACACCUAGAACCUGUUAAGGCUGCUUGAAAAAACUAUGCCACUCGUGAG